rnacentral:rRNA from 1 species
CGAUACAGGGUGACAGCCCCGUACACAAAAAUGCACAUGCUGUGAGCUCGAUGAGUAGGGCGGGACACGUGGUAUCCUGUCUGAAUAUGGGGGGACCAUCCUCCAAGGCUAAAUACUCCUGACUGACCGAUAGUGAACCAGUACCGUGAGGGAAAGGCGAAAAGAACCCCGGCGAGGGGAGUGAAAAAGAACCUGAAACCGUGUACGUACAAGCAGUGGGAGCACGCUUAGGCGUGUGACUGCGUACCUUUUGUAUAAUGGGUCAGCGACUUAUAUUCUGUAGCAAGGUUAACCGAAUAGGGGAGCCGAAGGGAAACCGAGUCUUAACUGGGCGUUAAGUUGCAGGGUAUAGACCCGAAACCCGGUGAUCUAGCCAUGGGCAGGUUGAAGGUUGGGUAACACUAACUGGAGGACCGAACCGACUAAUGUUGAAAAAUUAGCGGAUGACUUGUGGCUGGGGGUGAAAGGCCAAUCAAACCGGGAGAUAGCUGGUUCUCCCCGAAAGCUAUUUAGGUAGCGCCUCGUGAAUUCAUCUCCGGGGGUAGAGCACUGUUUCGGCAAGGGGGUCAUCCCGACUUACCAACCCGAUGCAAACUGCGAAUACCGGAGAAUGUUAUCACGGGAGACACACGGCGGGUGCUAACGUCCGUCGUGAAGAGGGAAACAACCCAGACCGCCAGCUAAGGUCCCAAAGUCAUGGUUAAGUGGGAAACGAUGUGGGAAGGCCCAGACAGCCAGGAUGUUGGCUUAGAAGCAGCCAUCAUUUAAAGAAAGCGUAAUAGCUCACUGGUCGAGUCGGCCUGCGCGGAAGAUGUAACGGGGCUAAACCAUGCAC